rnacentral:rRNA from 1 species
CUUAUGCGUUGUUGGGUAGGGGAGCGUUCUGUAAGCCUGUGAAGGUGUGCUGUGAGGCAUGCUGGAGGUAUCAGAAGUGCGAAUGCUGACAUAAGUAACGAUAAAGCGGGUGAAAAGCCCGCUCGCCGGAAGACCAAGGGUUCCUGUCCAACGUUAAUCGGGGCAGGGUGAGUCGACCCCUAAGGCGAGGCCGAAAGGCGUAGUCGAUGGGAAACAGGUUAAUAUUCCUGUACUUGGUGUUACUGCGAAGGGGGGACGGAGAAGGCUAUGUUGGCCGGGCGACGGUUGUCCCGGUUUAAGCGUGUAGGCUGGUUUUCCAGGCAAAUCCGGAAAAUCAAGGCUGAGGCGUGAUGACGAGGCACUACGGUGCUGAAGCAACAAAUGCCCUGCUUCCAGGAAAAGCCUCUAAGCAUCAGGUAACAUCAAAUCGUACCCCAAACCGACACAGGUGGUCAGGUAGAGAAUACCAAGGCGCUUGAGAGAACUCGGGUGAAGGAACUAGGCAAAAUGGUGCCGUAACUUCGGGAGAAGGCACGCUGAUAUGUAGGUGAAGUCCCUCGCGGAUGGAGCUGAAAUCAGUCUAAGAUACCAGCUGGCUGCAACUGUUUAUUAAAAACACAGCACUGUGCAAACACGAAAGUGGACGUAUACGGUGUGACGCCUGCCCGGUGCCGGAAGGUUAAUUGAUGGGGUUAGCCGCAAGGCGAAGCUCUUGAUCGAAGCCCCGGUAAACGGCGGCCGUAACUAUAACGGUCCUAAGGUAGCGAAAUUCCUUGUCGGGUAAGUUCCGACCUGCACGAAUGGCGUAAUGAUGGCCAGGCUGUCUCCACCCGAGACUCAGUGAAAUUGAACUCGCUGUGAAGAUGCAGUGUACCCGCGGCAAGACGGAAAGACCCCGUGAACCUUUACUAUAGCUUGACACUGAACAUUGAGCCUUGAUGUGUAGGAUAGGUGGGAGGCUUAGAAGUGUGGACGCCAGUCUGCAUGGAGCCGACCUUGAAAUACCACCCUUUAAUGUUUGAUGUUCUAACGUUGACCCGUAAUCCGGGUUGCGGACAGUGUCUGGUGGGUAGUUUGACUGGGGCGGUCUCCUCCUAAAGAGUAACGGAGGAGCACGAAGGUUGGCUAAUCCUGGUCGGACAUCAGGAGGUUAGUGCAAUGGCAUAAGCCAGCUUGACUGCGAGCGUGACGGCGCGAGCAGGUGCGAAAGCAGGUCAUAGUGAUCCGGUGGUUCUGAAUGGAAGGGCCAUCGCUCAACGGAUAAAAGGUACUCCGGGGAUAACAGGCUGAUACCGCCCAAGAGUUCAUAUCGACGGCGGUGUUUGGCACCUCGAUGUCGGCUCAUCACAUCCUGGGGCUGAAGUAGGUCCCAAGGGUAUGGCUGUUCGCCAUUUAAAGUGGUACGCGAGCUGGGUUUAGAACGUCGUGAGACAGUUCGGUCCCUAUCUGCC